UCCCCGCGACCCAGCACCACGUCUUCUCUCAGGUGCCCACUCGCCCCGCCCCCGAUUGAACCCUAGCCGCCACUCCUCGCUGGCCAUUCUCCCCGUCCACGGCCGCCACGUGCAUCGCCGCCAGAGGGCGUCGCCGGGUGUGCGCGUGCCUCCGCGGAUUCGCGCCGCGGUUGCCGGAGGCGUGGGCACCGCGGGUCAACCUCCUCGGGGACGAUGGGCGCCACAAGCCUCGUCGAAGGUCGCCUCUUCAUCCGCCACGACUCCGGCGCUCGUCCUGCUCACCGACGGUUGCCUGUCCAUCCGCCACGGCAGCGGUGCUUGUUCUCCUCCUUGGCUAUCCGCCUUCCCAUCCGCCAUGGCUGUGGCCUCCAAGCUUCGGGUUGUGAUGGCUUAGCUGCACCAUGACGCUGGUCUCUUGUUCUUAUCGUCGUUGAUGUGUCAGAUCUGUUGUUGUGCUAGCUGAACUGUAGGUUGGUUCAUUGUUUCUGGUUUCACGUCUUCUUGGUCGAUCCCUUGUCCGGCAUGUGCCUGCAUGUUGUCUCCCUGCCGCGGCAUUACGGAUCUGCAGGUUUUGUAGAUGGUAGCCUUACAGGCUGUGCUCCAAAUGGGUAAAAGGAAGUUUCUACUUGCUGUUCUAAGAUUCAGACAUCAGGCACAUACAUAAUAUAUCAUCUCUUAUGACUCCAAUGGUUUGUAUCCUGGAAGCAAUUCGGGUCCUCUGUUUUUCAAGCAGCUUGUGUCUUAUGCAUGAUUAGUGGGUUAUACACUACACUUUUUAUUUUAAAUGCGACCAUAUAGACAUAGCAAUCAAGCUAUAUUAUAAAUCCUAUUAGUAUCUUUUUCAUUGUUGAUGCGUUCUUCCAAAAAUCUUGGUGCCCAAUAUUCUGCUUGGAUGUAGGAUUCAUUAUAGCUAUUUCAAUAGUCCUCCCGGCCAGGCGAAUACGCAGUGAAUAGCGACCUUGCACCGAGGGUAAAUCUUGCUGUCGGCCACAUAUUGUACCAUAGCUAGAAAUUGUCUUCUCACUUUGUAAUCCAAAGAAUUAGCUUUUUGUUCUUUUCCGCAACUUUUUCAUAUGUAGGGCCUACAUGUUCUGGCAGCUAAUUGAAAGAAACUAUCUCCAGUUCUGCCAAACACUACCGUAGUCACGUGUCCUAUUCUUUAGUAAUUAGCAGCACAAGGAAACUGAUAGGUGUUGCACGCACAAUUCCCCUUUGGUGCCGUGCAGAUUGAAAAAUCAACAAGUACCCUGAUUUUGGUGCCAGACAUAUGAUGUGUGCUCUUCACAGAAGUUUUAGUUGGCAUACAUGCGUGCAAAUGGAUAUAUCUAUUACAAAUGCUCACAAUAAUAUGUUUCAUCCCACGCCUGUAAAUUAACUAUAAGGUUUAUAUUUUAUCAGAUGCAUGGGCACUUGUCGUUGCAGCAAGAGUUGCCACCAAAUCAGAUUAGAAGUUUUUUAAACAGGUUCCUAUAUUACUCUAUUUCUGCCACCAAAACAUUUAGUGAAGGUUCUUGGCGUUUUUAAUAAUUAUAGCUACUUCUCUAUUUCUGCCAAUAAUGCAUUACUCCGCAAUUGUGGACUUUUUCUUGGUCCCAAGUUCUGAAUAUGCAUUAAUCCAAGACCUAUUUUUGACCCCGUAGAUGAAUUUAUCCCUGGGUGUUUAUGCACGGAAGGAGGAGGCAUACCAAUGAUAGUUUGAAUCAAACCAGUAAAGGAUGCAACCGUCGGUUAUGGUGUCGAGCGAUUGAACUGUAGUGAACUGGUAGUGCGACUGUUAACCUCCUUGAAACCAUUCACGUUCGUCGCUCUUCAACUCACGCAACAGACAAGCAACUCUUCUUUUAUAACUAUAGACAAGUAUGACUCCAUACCCUUAAAUUCCCUGCACGAUUCUCAGGGUCAUUGAAUACAUCUUGUAACCCCACAUAAAUGGUUAGGAACGAGAUAAAUUUUAUUUAUCUUUGAUUCCCUACCAAAAUAUUUCUACUGCAUGUGUUAGGUAGGAUCUAUAAGAGUUGCUGCUAUGUAUAUGUUGUUGAAACCCCCAAUGUAGUUAAUCUCCGGCUCAUCAUCUUUCUUAGUUCAAGCCCUUCAGAGAAUGCUUUUAAAUUUAUGAACUGAAUUUAGUUCAAGAUUUAGUGAAAAUGCACGGUGAUCUUUACAACUUAUCUAUUUCUUUUUUUCUGUGGGACUUCUUCAAAGAUAAUAAUUUGGCAAUAAAUAAUGUUCAGUAAUCAUGUUUCCCUUUUAAUCACUAUACUUUAGUAAUCUUGGUAUCACAGGAUCUUUGAAACCUGAUACCACUCAUGUAAUUAGCCAUUAUUUUUGUCAUAAAGUCCCAUGUCUUAUCGCUAAUUGCAGCAUUGUUUUUCACCAGCGUGUCAUAGAUUCAGUUCUGCAUGAUGAGCUUGGUAUAGGAGAAAAUCAGUUUGCCAAUAUUAUUUUCUUGCUUAUUGAUAUACACAUGUUUACGUACAAUGUACCAGUUGCAUGGAUGUACCAAUUGUUGUCCAGUAACCUUUGAAAGUUGAACACAAAGAAUCUGCGCCCUAGGAUAAUUGCAAGGAAGGGAAUCACAUAUGUGAGUGCCCUUCAGAAAACCCAGUGGCACGUGGCAUAUCAGAAGGAACCAAAAUUGUAAUCCCCAAGUGCGCCGAGCACUUUCUAUUCUGUAGGAAGAUGAGCUUGAGAGUUGAGAGGUGGGUUAUAGUAACUAUGCUCAUGAAUCUCCAUUUGCCAUACUUGAAAGUUGGGAUAUGUAAUCUCCGUUGGAUUAUAUAAGCUUGUUAAGACAGACUAAUAUGCAUAAAAUUUUGCAUGGAAUGCUUCUAAUAUGCUACCUAAUAAUAAGGCAGUUCCCAUUUUAACAAAUUUCAUGAUGAAUCAUAAAUCUUCAUACGUGCACACAUAGUGUAACCUCUUUCCUGUAAGCAUCCAGGCUUUUGAUUGAUUGGUUUGAGGUGCAACCAUGCCUAUCAAAUGAGGAACACGUUACCCUUCUCAGCCACCCAAAAAUACUGUUACCUUUAGUACUCGAUGUAGCAUGCAUUCCCUUUUUCAUUAUCACCCAGUGGUGGCCUUAGAAAGAAAAGCUUGCAUUAAAUUUUUGUGCUGUACUAAUUAUUAUGACCUGGUCUAAUUAUUAUAAAUCCUUCGACCUAUGUAAUGUACUCCUGAUACUAUUAUAUCAUGCUGCAUUUCCUGUGAUAUAUCAAAUAUCUAUCCUUUGUCCUAAACAAGAGGCCUUACAGUUAUACUAAGCAAUACUGAUUUGGUCAGUAUAUAAUAUUGCAAUGCUUAUAACCCUUUGGUCAGUGGCCCAUCUGAAUUGAGAUGCACUACUGGAAUCGGGGAUUUUGCCGUCUGCCAGUUCUUUGCCGUCAGCUAGCAGACGGCAAAGAAGGUCUUUGCCAUCAGCUACCCAAAAGCAGACGGCAAACAACUGGCAGACGGCAAAGAAG